rnacentral:misc_RNA from 1 species
GAUGAAGAACGUAGCGAAAUGCGAUAAGUAAUGUGAAUUGCAGAAUUCAGUGAAUCAUCGAAUCUUUGAACGCACAUUGCGCCCGCCAGUAUUCUGGCGGGCAUGCCUGUUCGAGCGUCAUUACAACCCUCAGGCCCCCGGGCCUGGCGUUGGGGAUCGGCGGAAGCCCCCUGCGGGCACAACGCCGUCCCCCAAAUACAGUGGCGGUCCCGCCGCAGCUUCCAUUGCGUAGUAGCUAACACCUCGCAACUGGAGAGCGGCGCGGCCACGCCGUAAAACACCCAACUUCUGAAUGUUGACCUCGAAUCAGGUAGGAAUACCCGCUGAACUUAAGAAUAUCAAAAGCGGAGGA